UGGGGAAUCUUCCGCAAUGGGCGAAAGCCUGACGGAGCAACGCCGCGUGAGUGAAGAAGGUCUUCGGAUCGUAAAGCUCUGUUGUUGGGGACGAAAGGGUAGACGAGGCAAUGCGUCUACUAAGACGGUACCCGACGAGGAAGCCACGGCUAACUACGUGCCAGCAGCCGCGGUAAUACGUAGGUGGCGAGCGUUGUCCGGAAUGAUUGGGCGUAAAGGGAGCGCAGGUGGGACGGUAAGUCCUUCUUAAAAGUUCGGGGCUUAACCCCGUGAUGGGAUGGAAACUGCCAAUCUAGAGUAUCGGAGAGGAAAGUGGAAUUCCUAGUGUAGCGGUGAAAUGCGUAGAUAUUAGGAAGAACACCAGUGGCGAAGGCGACUUUCUGGACGAAAACUGACGCUGAGGCGCGAAAGCCAGGGGAGCGAACGGGAUUAGAUACCCCGGUAGUCCUGGCCGUAAACGAUGGGUACUAGGUGUAGGAGGUAUCGACCCCUUCUGUGCCGGAGUUAACGCAAUAAGUACCCCGCCUGGGGAGUACGACCGCAAGGUUG
rnacentral:rRNA from 1 species